AGCUUUCAGUGACAUAGCAGCCGAGAAAUACAGCCUACCUAGGAUGCAGGCUACAAUUUGGAACACUAUACAGGUUUGUGCACUACAGGCUGAAAGGCUACAGAGUUGAUCAUGCUGUGUUUUUGGAUAUGGAGAUCAUAGCUAAAAUGGGAUGGGGUAGAAGCUUUAGGUUUAGCUUGAGAGGUAAGUUAAGUAUAGGUUGAGGGAUGGUAGGUUCCAUUUAGGUUUAGGUUUAGGUUGAGGUGUAGUAGGUUACAUUUAGGUUUAGGGUUAAGGUGUAGUAGGUUGCAUUUAGGUUUGGGCUUAAGUUGAGGGGUAGGAGGUUAAGUUCAAGUUUGGGCAACAAUCCAUAAGUUUAGGGGAUUAAGAGACCUCUCUGGUGAGUAUUUUUAAUGCAG
rnacentral:lncRNA from 1 species